AGAUGCCUCUGGCAAUUUUGAUUUAUCAAUUAUCCUUUAACACAAGGACAUAACAUUGUGAACAAAGUCCUUUCUUUCUGACGCAGAUGAUGAUUUGCAGAUGUGACAAGCUGCCGCAGUAUCGCGUCAACUACUGCCAAGGAGGACUAACUCAAUGCUCAGCAAGACCACACCAACAUAGCUGCUGCACAGAUUUAACGCAAGGAGGGGAGAACACUGUGCUCAUUGGGGCUGACGGUUACCACAGCAACCACGGAACACAAUGAGAAAGAGGCGGGGAGAGAGGAGUCAGCCAUUUUCUCUACAUGCAAAGGACUAUGUCUGACGUACCUAUGUUGGUAAUGGUCUUUUUUUUUCAAGCAAGGAAGCUCAGCGUUGCUUUAGAGCUUCAGUAGGAACAACAUAUUUCAUCAUAGAUACAUUUCUGUGUGUAACACGUGCUGACUUGCUCAAUACUCAUAACUGAUUGUUUAGUUUGUUCAUGAUAGGUGAAUCGUUCCUGUGUAACGACUCAAGAGGCUGACGUAGUCAGACAGCAUCAUUUUCCUGCGAUAGCAACAAUGGCAGUCAAAGCAUAGUCCAUGUUUAGUCAAAGUAGCGGGUUCUCACUCGUUUGUGCAAGUCUCCGACAUAUUUUUGAAGUCAAAUUCACCAUUGAGCGUUUGUUCACACAUUUAAAAAGCUGCAUCGGGACGCCGCCCUCAAUCCACAUCCCCUCCGUGCUUCCAUUCCCCAACAUCUGCAGCAUGCAGCGAGUCACCGAACCGCUCUCUUGCUCCGACACGGUGACAUCUCGGGAGGCUAUUUAUAGAUGUUUUUGCAUCAGAGCAGUGCAUGAAUGUUUUGGUUGGUUGUACAACAAUGACGUUGUUUUUGAGAUCAAUUUUGUUCCUGUUUCUCCCUCAUUUCGGGCCACCUACAGUAUCCUCAUCAGACACUUCAUCCAAGGUGUUCAAUCAAGAGAACAGUGAAAUUCUGGCUUUGGCCACAUUUUCAAUGGCACUGUCAGAACGAUAUUUUCAUUGUACUUCAUCAUACUGAGGGCAUCCAACAUACUGAUACACGACUGGUACACGAUGUGAUUGAUUACAUUCCAAUCUCUUGUUGGUUGUUGUUUAAUGUGUUGAGGAGUUGUUCUGCGUCCAAAGACUUUCAGAGUUAUGGACUGUAGCCUAUUCCCCGUCUUAUCAUUUGUUUGUGUCAAAUGUUAUUUUGUAGACUGAUGUUUGAAAAUUUGAUCAGAAUGGAAACAAGGCAAAGAAAUCUGGGAUGCAUUGCAACUUCCCAACCAGAAUGCUGCGAGAAAUCAUCGAGGGUGAAGCGGCAAAUAAUGUAAUUUAACUUAAUUUUUUAUCUGAAAAGUUAUUAUUAAUCACAAAUACAUCUUAGUUCAUCUUCCCAUGGCAUCAACCUAUAGUGACAGGCAGAACAAAUAGAUGUACAACGGAAUACAUCAUGGCUUUGUGGGACUAUAUCAAAUCUUUUUGGUCAACCAAACUUUUUCCCCUGAGUAUGUCAAUUUGUGAGUAAAUUCUGUUGAGGUCAUCAUUUUUUUCAGUAUUCCUGCUUUUUUGUUUCAUUUUUCAUUAGUAGUGUGCCACGACAGUGUCCUAAUGUCAACUAAUGUGCUUUGGCUCAAUAAAGGUUGGGAAACACUGCAUUAGAUGGCAUUGUUGUGAUGUAUUGUUAUGGAGAGUGGCGGCAUGGUGGGCGACUGGUUAGCACGUCAGCUUCACAGUGCAGAGGUCCCUGGUUCGAUUCCGGGCCCCGGCCUUCCUGUGUGGAGUUUGCAGGUUCUCCCCGUGCUUGCGUGGGUUUUCUCCGGGUACUCCGCUUUCCUCCCACAUUCCAAAAAUAUGCAUGGCAGGUUAAUGGAACACGCCGAACAAUUGACUGUGAGUGUGAAUGGUUGUCUUUGUGUGCCCUGCGAUUGGUUGACAACCAGUUUCGGGUGUACCCCGCCCAUUGCCCAAGGAUAGUUCCCAGUAUGCCCACGAAACUUGUGAGGAUAAGCAGGUUCAAAAAUUGAUGGAUGGAAGGCUGGAUGUUAUGGAGAGAAAACAAGACAAAGACAGCGACAGCUGAUUUCGUAAUCGUUUUAUUUGAAAUGUCAGUGUUCAAGAGAAAAUAAAACAGCAAUAUAAAUAUUAGCAUAAAAAUGAGAAGGAUAAAGCGUGGCGAGGGGAAGGGGUUUGCAUUUGAUAAGAAAGAUAAUACAGCAUGAUAGAGUAGCAUUAAUUCAGCAGCGGACAGACGUACACAUUAAUAAUAUUUAUACUGUAGUCAUUUGUUCAUAUGGACAGAAAGAGAAUGCACAAGAUCAAAUCACCGCAAAAAGAACAUUGAGAGGUUACAGAAGGAUAGAAACAUAUUCAUAUUUGUCAUUUCUUUACAGGGUGAUAAAAGAUAGAAGAGAAAAUGAACACAAAAAUAUGCGCAACACAUAUCACAGGUUAACUAGUCUACGUGUGUCACUUAUCUAAAGUUAUCUUUCAUUUGUUCUAUUUACACUGACGGGUUAGUUGGCAUGGUGCUUAGUUACUACAUUGCAACACAAACUGUUGAAAAACAUCUCAGAUUUUCAUUUAUGAUUUUUUUUUAUAUUUGUUGUUUGCUUAAUUUUCUUGGAAAACGAAAUGCAACACAUUCCAAUAGUGAGCCACGCUUUGUGGAGGA